AUUUAUCAGGAAAGCUGCUGGUGAUGGUUGCAAUGACAGCGAUGAAGAGGCUAAGCGGGGUAAAAUGCUUGAGUUGGGCCACACUGGCGGUACUGGUAGGGGAAGAGGAAGGGGUAGAGGAAGAGGCCGCGGUCGAGGGGCUCGAACUGCAGAAAGAGAAACCUUACAUCAGUAGAUAAUGGUUCAGAACCAAAGGAGUUAUCAAAGGAAAAUAUUGCAGCUCACGAAGAAAGUACUCAAUCUCUCCGAAACAUUGAUCUGAAUGCCAACUUACGUGUAAACGAGGAGAAAAACAAUACAAGCAUGGAUAUACCUACUCAUGCCCCAUUGCCUGAGCCUGCUGCAACAACAGAUAUGCAACAUGAAGAAAUUCCAGGUUAUUCCUUUCUGAUGUCGACAAGAUGACGAUUGACACGUUGCAGCUUGCAGCAAACCUAGGUAAUAGGCUAGAUUAUGAUGAUGAGGAAGAGUAGCUAACACCUUAAGGUGGAAAUCAUGACUCAGAUGCUAAAUGAAUGAUCCCUUUUUUUCUUUGCCUGGUAUCUCAAUGACCUUGUGUAGAUACUAGCAAAUGUAGUUUUUUUUUCUUCUUAUCAGUAAUGUUAGUUUCUUGCACUUUUUAGGGUUUAAUUGUUGUCAAAAUCCCGACUUAAAUCCUAAAAUCCAGAAUUUUGCGACUUUCUUCACCUUCAACGACCUAAAUCCAUAGUAGAAUCCUAAAAUAGGCAAAGUCCAUCGA